UGCUUCUGUUUGGUUAGCGGCGGACGGGUGAGUAACACGUGGGCAACCUGCCCGUAAGACCGGGAUAACUUCGGGAAACCGGAGCUAAUACCGGAUAACACCGAAGACCGCAUGGUCUUUGGUUGAAAGGCGGCUUUGGUUGUCACUUACGGAUGGGCCCGCGGCGCAUUAGCUAGUUGGUGAGGUAACGGCUCACCAAGGCGACAAUGCGUAGCCAACCUGAAAGGGUGAUCGGCCACACUGGGACUGAGACCCGGCCCAAACUCCUACGGGAGGCACCUUUAGGGAAUCUUCCGCAAGGGACGAAAGUCUGACGGACCAACGCCGCGUGAGGGAAAAAGGCCUUCGGAUUGUAAAGCUCUGUUGUUAGGGAAGAACAAGUGCUGUUCGAAUAGGGGACGCACCGUGACGGUCCCUAACGAGAAAGCCACGCUAUAACUAUCGUGCCCAGCAGCNCGCGGGUAAUACNGUAGGGGGGCNNGAAGCAUUGUUCUCGAGAAAUAUUUGUGGCGUAAAAGCGCGCGGCAGGCGGGUCCUUUUUAAGUCUUGAUGUGAAAAGNCCCACGCGGUCUCACCCGUGGAGGGGUCACUGUGGAAAACUGUGGGACACUUGAGUGCAGAAGAGAGAGAGCGAGAAUUUCCACGUGUAGUAGCGGUGUGAAAUGCGUAGAGAUAUGGAGAACACACCCAGUGUGCGCAGAAGGCACUCUCUCUGGCUCUGUAAUGAGACGCUAGACGCGCGAAAGACGUGGGGAGNAUCAACACAGACAUUAGAUAUCCUCUGCUAGUCUCACGCGCCUAUACAAGAGUGAUGUGCUAAUGUGUUAAGAGGGGUUCAAUCCCUUUUAGUGCUGUAGAUAACGCACUAAGCACUCUGCGNGGGGAGUACGCUCGCAAGAGUGAAACUCAAAGGAAUAGACGGGGGCCCGCACACGCGCUGGAGCAUGUGGUUUAAUUUGAAGCAACGCGAAGAACCNNACCAGAUCUUGACAUCCCCUGACAACCCGAGAGAUCGGGGGUUCCCCUUCGGGGGACAGGGUGACAGGUGGUGCAUGGUUGUCGUCAGCUCGUGUCGUGAGAUGUUGGGUUAAGUCCCGCAACGAGCGCAACCCUUGACCUUAGUUGCCAGCAUUGAGAUGGGCACUCUAAGGUGACUGCCGAUGACAAAUCGGAGGAAGGUGGGGAUGACGUCAAAUCAUCAUGCCCCUUAUGACCUGGGCUACACACGUGCUACAAUGGGCGGUACAAAGGGGUGCGAACCCGCGAGGGGGAGCGAAUCCCAAAAAGCCGCUCUCAGUUCGGAUUGCAGGCUGCAACUCGCGUGCAUGAAGCCGGAAUCGCUAGUAAUCGCGGAUCAGCAUGCCGCGGUGAAUACGUUCCCGGGCCUUGUACACACCGCCCGUCACACCACGAGAGUUUGCAACACCC
rnacentral:rRNA from 1 species